rnacentral:rRNA from 2 species
GAGUUUGAUCCUGGCUCAGAAUGAACGCUGGCGGCAGGCCUAACACAUGCAAGUCGAACGGAGUUAUAUUGUAGCUUGCUAUGGUAUAACUUAGUGGCAGACGGGUGAGUAAUGUAUAGGAAUCUACCUAGUAGUACGGAAUAAUUGUUGGAAACGGCAACUAAUACCGUAUACGCCCUACGGGGGAAAAAUUUAUUGCUAUUAGAUGAGCCUAUAUUAGAUUAGUUAGUUGGUGAGGUAAAGGCUUACCAAGACAAUGAUCUAUAGCUGAUCUGAGAGGAUGAUCAGCCACACUGGGACUGAGACACGGCCCAGACUCCUACGGGAGGCAGCAGUGGGGAAUAUUGGACAAUGGGCGCAAGCCUGAUCCAGCCAUGCCGCGUGAGUGAUGAAGGCCUUA